rnacentral:lncRNA from 1 species
CCUUAUAUGUUAUGGGUUUGCAUUAUUUAUCUAAAACAAAAAAAAACAAAAAAAACAUCAGGAGUAUGUUUAUCACACGCAGAGCGCAGGCAACAGACCUGCAAGUACAUACUAAGUCUUAAUUAACUCCACAAAUACAAAUUCCCACAAAUUAUACCAAAUACAAAUCCCAGAAGCUACAUUUCUGGCCGGCUUGCGACUCAAAAUUCAGCAGCUAAACAUAGACAUAGAACCACACAACACCCGGAAAAAAAACAAAAGUUUGGAUCAACACAAAAGAAAAUCUUGUUAUCACAACAUUUUUCGUAAAAAAAAUCAGAAGAUAAAAGUGUCAGUGAACUAUGUAUUCUGGUUUCUUCUGACGAACCAAAGAAUUAUAUCUAAAGAAACGCAGCUUUAGGGAGGAGGAGGCACAGGCUCAAACAGUGGAGGGCAGCAGCAUGAAAAUAGGCCACAGCAGCACAGAAACCACAAACUGCAGGAGGUUAAUAUUAUUCCCAGUCAGCAAUUAAUAAAAUAUUAUAAUGUCAAGAUCUAGCUACCGAUGUUGCAUGUUCCUCAAGAUGUAGCAAAUGUACAAGUAAAAGGAACAGCUUACCAUGAAUCCCAGCAUCCUCCACCAUGGUUUUCUGGACCGAGGAGUGGAGCUGUGGGUGGUGGUGGUGGUGGAUCCAUUGGUGACCUACGAUGGAGGGAGAAUACUUCCGGAGGGUGAUGGUACGUAUCCUCUAUGUGGAAGUUGGAUGGUUGAUAUUAAUUGGUAGAGCACUAUUCAACAUCCUCUCUUCAG